GCCUGUGAUUAAUCAGAUUAUACAUUUCCGCAUCCCGCCCGAUCUGCGAAGUUAAGCAACGUUGGGCUGUCGUCAGUACCAGAAUCGGAGACGGUCUGGGAACACGCAGUGUCGUAGACA
rnacentral:rRNA from 1 species